AAUGGCUCAUUAAAUCAGUUAUCGUUUAUUUGAUAGUACCUUACUACUUGGAUAACCGUGGUAAUUCUAGAGCUAAUACAUGCUAAAAACCCCAACUUCGGAAGGGGUGUAUUUAUUAGAUAAAAAACCAAUGCCCUUCGGGGCUCCUUGGUGAUUCAUGAUAACUUCUCAGAUCGCAUAGCCUUGAGCUGGCGACGGUUCAUUCAAAUUUCUGCCCUAUCAACUUUCGAUGGUAAGGUAGUGGCUUACCAUGGUUGCAACGGGUAACGGGGAAUUAGGGUUCGAUUCCGGAGAGGGAGCCUGAGAAACGGCUACCACAUCCAAGGAAGGCAGCAGGCGCGCAAAUUACCCAAUUCCGAUGCGGAGAGGUAGUGACAAUAAAUACUGAUACAGGGCUCUUUUGGGUCUUGUAAUUGGAAUGAGUACAAUUUAAACCUCUUAACGAGGAACAAUUGGAGGGCAAGUCUGGUGCCAGCAGCCGCGGUAAUUCCAGCUCCAAUAGCGUAUAUUAAAGUUGUUGCAGUUAAAAAGCUCGUAGUUGAAACUUUGGCCUGGCUGGCAGGUCCGCCUCACCGCGUGCACUUGUCCGGCCGGGCCUUUUCUUCUGGAGAACCGCAUGCCCUUCACUGGGUGUGUUGGGGACCAGGACUUUUACUUUGAAAAAAUUAGAGUGUUCAAAGCAGGCCUUUGCUCGAAUACGUUAGCAUGGAAUAAUAGAAUAGGACGUGCGGUCCUAUUUUGUUGGUUUCUAGGACCGCCGUAAUGAUUAAUAGGGACAGUCGGGGGCAUCAGUAUUCAUUUGUCAGAGGUGAAAUUCUUGGAUUUAUUGAAGACUAACUACUGCGAAAGCAUUUGCCCAAGGAUGUUUUCAUUAAUCAGUGAACGAAAGUUAGGGGAUCGAAGACGAUCAGAUACCGUCGUAGUCUUAACCAUAAACUAUGCCGACUAGGGAUCGGGCGGUGUUUCUAUUGUGACCCGCUCGGCACCUUACGAGAAAUCAAAGUGUUUGGGUUCUGGGGGGA
rnacentral:rRNA from 1 species